rnacentral:pre_miRNA from 1 species
UAUAGCAUUACCUGGGAUCUUGUUAAAAUGUAGAAUUUGAUUCAGUAGAUUUGGGAUGGGGCCCAAGAUUCUGCAUUUUUAACAAGCGCUUAGGUGAUGAUGGU